UCUCGAAGUUAUUUGUGUAGGCGAAACUGCUGUCGUCCAUGCCGUCGUUCGUUGUGAAUAUUAUCUUUCAUUUACGUUAAAGUUAUUGAAAAAUAUUCUGUUCAAAUGAGUUCUUCUCAAUUAAUGCACAUGAUAGAUGAAAUCAUCUCGAGGGCGUGAAUAGAUAGCUCGUUUAAUGAAAGUAAAAUUUGUUUUCUCACCGAUUCCUGCUCAUAUUUAUUUGUCGUUGUGGGUGAAGUGAAGUGUCAGUCAGCCGUAACUGGCUUGUUUGUUAAGUGAAACAUCAAAGGCACUUAUCGUGUUGAACACAGAUGUCAUCACCUUCUUAAAUUUGCAUUCGAUUGCAGAAAAUACGAAAGUGGAUACUGCUUUAUAUCAUAAUCAAUAGGAAUACGGGGUAGCUACGAAAGGACGCGUUUACCGACAUUGAUCUUAGAGAACUUAUGCUGUCCAAGGGAAUCUGUUAAAGUAUUGAAGGUUUGGUGAAAGGGCAUUUGGAAGAGAGCUCUGAUUAUCGUGCUUAUGUCAAGAUAUCUUUGUUGGUCAUAUUGCCUCUUUUGACUUUGUUUUCGCGUUUGGAUCUUUAACAUAAUAAGGUAAUUCUCCAUAAUGACCCGAAGGCUCAAGAUGUGUUACAUUUGUAAUGUUUUAAGCUAUAUUUUGGUAUGUUUUGGCUUCUUGAGUUGUGUUUGCGCUCUGUUUAGACAAGUUGAUAAUCGAUUAUUAUCGAAAGUUAAUCGAAAAGUUCAAGACACCGCGACUACACCUUUUUAUUAUCAACUGCCGCGUAAAAAAUUGAAAAAUAAAAAAAAACUAUCAAAA